AGAGUUUGAUCCUGGCUCAGGACGAACGCUGGCGGCACGCUUAACACAUGCAAGUCGAACGAGAGAAGAGGAGCUUGCUUUUCUGAUCUAGUGGCGGACGGGUGAGUAACACGUGAGCAAUCUGCCUUUCAGAGGGGGAUACCGAUUGGAAACGAUCGUUAAUACCGCAUAACAUAAUUGAACCGCAUGAUUUGAUUAUCAAAGAUUUAUCGCUGAAAGAUGAGCUCGCGUCUGAUUAGCUAGUUGGUAAGGUAACGGCUUACCAAGGCGACGAUCAGUAGCCGGACUGAGAGGUUGAUCGGCCACAUUGGGACUGAGACACGGCCCAGACUCCUACGGGAGGCAGCAGUGGGGAAUAUUGCACAAUGGAGGAAACUCUGAUGCAGCGAUGCCGCGUGAGGGAAGAAGGUUUUAGGAUUGUAAACCUCUGUCUUCAGGGACGAAAAAAGACGGUACCUGAGGAGGAAGCUCCGGCUAACUACGUGCCAGCAGCCGCGGUAAUACGUAGGGAGCGAGUGUUGUCCGGAAUUACUGGGUGUAAAGGGAGCGUAGGCGGGAUCGCAAGUCAGAUGUGAAAACUAUGGGCUUAACCCAUAAACUGCAUUUGAAACUGUGGUUCUUGAGUGAAGUAGAGGUAAGCGGAAUUCCUAGUGUAGCGGUGAAAUGCGUAGAUAUUAGGAGGAACAUCAGUGGCGAAGGCGGCUUACUGGGCUUUAACUGACGCUGAGGCUCGAAAGCGUGGGGAGCAAACAGGAUUAGAUACCCUGGUAGUCCACGCCGUAAACGAUGAUUACUAGGUGUGGGGGGACUGACCCCUUCCGUGCCGCAGCAAACGCAAUAAGUAAUCCACCUGGGGAGUACGACCGCAAGGUUGAAACUCAAAGGAAUUGACGGGGGCCCGCACAAGCAGUGGAGUAUGUGGAUUAAUUCGAAGCAACGCGAAGAACCUUACCAGGUCUUGACAUCGUAUGCAUAGCUCAGAGAUGAGUGAAAUCUCUUCGGAGACAUAUAGACAGGUGGUGCAUGGUUGUCGUCAGCUCGUGUCGUGAGAUGUUGGGUUAAGUCCCGCAACGAGCGCAACCCUUACUGUUAGUUGCUACGCAAGAGCACUCUAGCAGGACUGCCGUUGACAAAACGGAGGAAGGUGGGGAUGACGUCAAAUCAUCAUGCCCCUUAUGACCUGGGCCUCACACGUACUACAAUGGCUGUCAACAGAGGGAAGCAAAGCCGCGAGGUGGAGCGAACCCCUAAAAGCAGUCUUAGUUCGGAUUGUAGGCUGCAACCCGCCUACAUGAAGUCGGAAUUGCUAGUAAUCGCAGAUCAGCAUGCUGCGGUGAAUACGUUCCCGGGCCUUGUACACACCGCCCGUCACGCCAUGGGAGUCGGUAACACCCGAAGCCUGUAGUCUAACCGCAAGGAGGACGCAGUCGAAGGUGGGAUUGAUGACUGGGGUGAAGUCGUAACAAGGUA
rnacentral:rRNA from 1 species